UUCAGUGCUUCCUAACAGGCUUCCUCUCACUCUCUGAAAAGCUUACAGAAGUCAUGCAACUCAAAAGCAAAAUUCAAUGUUGUAUGAAGGGCUGCAAGCCAAAAUAGGGAACACUUUGCCACCACAUUUAAGGUGUCAAAUUGGCAGCCACCGGCCGGAUGCGUCACACGCAGGCCACGCCUACUCCAGGUCCACGAAUGGGAAAAAACUUCUCAAAAAUAUCAUCACACGAUGGCAACGGCGAUUUUGACAGCCGUGAUUUAAAGCAAAGUCCGCCGAUAUCCAAG